CCUACGGGAGGCAGCAGUGGGGAAUAUUGGGCAAUGGAGGCAACUCUGACCCAGCAACGCCGCGUGAAUGAUGAAGGUCUUCGGAUUGUAAAGUUCUUUUCUAAGGGAAGCAGUAAGUUACGGUACCUUAGGAAUAAGCCUCGGCUAACUACGUGCCAGCAGCCGCGGUAAUACGGAGGGGGCAAGCGUUAUUCGGAUUUUCUGGGUGUAAAGGGAGCGUAGGUGGCAAGGCAAGUUAGAUGGGAAAACCCGGGGCCCAACCCCGGGAGUGCAUUUGAAACUGUCUGGCUAGAGUGCAGGAGAGGUAAGUGGAAUUCCUAGUGUAGCGGUGAAAUGCAUAGAUAUUAGGAAGAACACCAGUGGCGAAGGCGGCUUACGGGACUGUAACUGACGCUGAGGCUCGAAAGCGUGGGGAGCAAACAGGCUUAGAUACCCUAGUAGUC
rnacentral:rRNA from 1 species